UGACCAAGCUUUUGAUAUACUUUGUUUUC
rnacentral:piRNA from 1 species